rnacentral:lncRNA from 1 species
CUUCGACGGUCCGCCUUUGUGUGUUGUAUUUCCUUCUUGUUUUCUUUUUCUUAAUUAUUAUAUCGAUAUUAAAAAAAAUUAUUACGUAUAUAUACAUAAGCAAAGUUAUACAUAUAUAUAUAUAGACACACACAAAUACUUUGACCAUAAUUGAGUUUCCACACAAAAAAUAAAGAAAUGCGUGCAUAUAUAGAUAUAUUAAUAUUUAAUUAUUAUUUUAAUACCUAACAAAACCACGC